UACGUAGGGGGCAAGCGUUGUCCGGAUUUAUUGGGCGUAAAGAGCGUGUAGGCGGCCUGACAGGUCUGCUGUGAAAACUCGAGGCUCAACCUCGAGAUGUCGGCGGAAACCGUCUGGCUAGAGUCCGGAAGAGGAGAGUGGAAUUCCUGGUGUAGCGGUGAAAUGCGCAGAUAUCAGGAAGAACACCUAUGGCGAAGGCAGCUCCCUGGGACGGUACUGACGCUGAGACGCGAAAGCGUGGGGAGCGAACAGG
rnacentral:rRNA from 1 species